CAAAUGAUGGGUUUGGUGUUUACUCCAAUUCCUAUGGGCCAGAGUUUGCUCACUGCAGAGAAAUACAGUGGAACUCGCUGGGCAAUGGUUUGGCUUAUGAAGACUUUAGUUUCCCCAUCUUUCUUCUUGAAGAUGAAAAUGAAACCAAAGUCAUCAAGCAGAAAUCGUCUGUGACCCCCUGUCUGAUUACAAUGUGUGGAGCAUGCUAAAGCCUAUAAAUACAACUGGGACAUUAAAGCCUGACGACAGGGUUGUGGUUGCUGCCACCCGGCUGGAUAGUCGUUCCUUUUUCUGGAAUGUGGCCCCAGGGGCUGAAAGCGCAGUGGCUUCCUUUGUCACCCAGCUGGCUGCUGCUGAAGCUUUGCAAAAGGCACCUGAUGUGACCACCCUGCCCCGCAAUGUCAUGUUUGUCUUCUUUCAAGGGGAAACUUUUGACUACAUUGGCAGCUCGAGGAUGGUCUACGAUAUGGAGAAGGGCAAGUUUCCUGUGCAGUUAGAGAAUGUUGACUCAUUUGUGGAGCUGGGACAGGUGGCCUUAAGAACUUCAUUAGAGCUUUGGAUGCACACAGAUCCUGUUUCUCAGAAAAAUGAGUCUGUACGGAACCAGGGCCUGUGAGACAGGGUAAGAGACAGGAUUGGAUUGGGUGUUGGCCAAAGGAUGAACACCACAGCUGUUGUUGCUGCUGGGAAGAAUCAGGAACUCAGUGACAUUCCAUUGGUUCCCUGGACUGGGUAGUUCUCUGAUCAUUUGUUGCCUAGCAGACUACCACUGCCCAUUAAGGAUAGGUGGAGGAUCUCCUGGCCACAUUGGAGAAGAGUGGUGCUGGUGUCCCUGCUGUCAUCCUCAGGAGGACAAAUCAGUCCCAGCCUCUCCCACCAUCUUCCCUGCAGCGAUUUCUUCGAGCUCGAAACAUCUCUGGCGUUGUUCUGGCUGACCACUCUGGUGCCUUCCAUAACAAAUAUUACCAGAGUAUUUACGACACUGCUGAGAACAUUAAUGUGAGCUAUCCCGAAUGGCUGAGCCCUGAAGAGGACCUGAACUUUGUAACAGACACUGCCAAGGCCCUGGCAGAUGUGGCCACGGUGCUGGGACGUGCUCUGUAUGAGCUUGCAGGAGGAACCAACUUCAGCGACACAGUUCAGGCUGAUCCCCAAACGGUUACCCGCCUGCUCUAUGGGUUCCUGAUUAAAGCCAACAACUCAUGGUUCCAGUCUAUCCUCAGGCAGGACCUAAGGUCCUACUUGG
rnacentral:sRNA from 1 species